UGGGGAAUUUUGGACAAUGGGCGAAAGCCUGAUCCAGCAAUGCCGCGUGUGUGAAGAAGGCCUUCGGGUUGUAAAGCACUUUUGUCCGGAAAGAAAUCCUUGGCUCUAAUACAGUCGGGGGAUGACGGUACCGGAAGAAUAAGCACCGGCUAACUACGUGCCAGCAGCCGCGGUAAUACGUAGGGUGCAAGCGUUAAUCGGAAUUACUGGGCGUAAAGCGUGCGCAGGCGGUUUGCUAAGACCGAUGUGAAAUCCCCGGGCUCAACCUGGGAACUGCAUUGGUGACUGGCAGGCUAGAGUAUGGCAGAGGGGGGUAGAAUUCCACGUGUAGCAGUGAAAUGCGUAGAGAUGUGGAGGAAUACCGAUGGCGAAGGCAGCCCCCUGGGCCAAUACUGACGCUCAUGCACGAAAGCGUGGGGAGCAAACAGGAUUAGAUACCCCUGGUAGUCCACGCCCUAAACGAUGUCAACUAGUUGUUGGGGGAUUCAUUUCCUUAGUAACGUAGCUAACGCGUGAAGUUGACCGCCUGGGGAGUACGGUCGCAAGAUU
rnacentral:rRNA from 1 species